CCGGGGAGGAGAGCUGUCCCCCUUCAGAGCAUCCCACAGAGCCACCUCCCUCCAGCUCCCCGCUGGAAAGAUUUCCCUUCAUGCCAAAAAAGCCAAUUCCAAAAAAGUUUGGUAUCUCGUUGUGACCUUUCCUAAGCCAGAAACCAACCCUGCGGUGCCAGAGGCAGGUUUCCUCACUGCCCUCUCUGCCCACAGGCUGCCUCAGCCUCCCCGAGGACCAGGUCCGGCCUGACACUUUCGAGGACACCACGCUGGCGUUCCUCGAGGCUGCACGUGGCCCUGCUCCAAGCCUGAAUUUGCCAACACACAGCGAGACUUCCUCGGUGCUGCGAGCACGCAGCCACCCCCAGCACCCAGACAACAAAAACACCUCGGAGCUGGGCACCCGGGGCAGGCACCGUGAGGCAGAAAUCUCCUCCAAAGGACUGGAUUCUGAAAAGCGUUACUGGCGGAGCUAUCCCCGUACCCAUCCACUGAUGCUUCCAACACUCGUGUGACCGACCCGAGCCUGCCCUACAGGUGACUGCCCAGGUGAUCGUUCCCUCAGCUCAGACUGACAGCAGCAGCAUUGUCUUGCCACAACUCGGGUGGAAAAUCUCAUUCACGCUCCCAUCUUUUCACAGCAUCACUCCUUUUUCAUAGGUCUCCAGCCCUAGCUGUCCAGAGCAAAAUUACACAGAAGUGACCCGUCCUCCCUUUUCAGCUGUAAAGAGGACACGUUUUUCCAUGAGCUUCACCUGGUACCUCUAGGAGCGCCUCCUUACUGCAGAUCCUGCCCUGGGAAUGGGCAGGAAUUGCUUUCUGUGCUUCCAAACUCCCUCUCAAUAUCCACAGCACAUUUACACUUCCAGAAAAAAAAAUAAUAAUAAGUUUUUAACUAGUUCAAGAUGAGAUCUUUCAAAACACCUUUCAGGACAUAGUUGUUUGCCACAAUGAAAGAUAUAUCUAAAUCUGUGAUCUUUUUAGAAAUCCAUAUCUUUUUGAAUCUGACUAAAAUCUUGCCCGAACUUCCCCCUUCUUCUUAAAAGCAGCAGUUCUUGCUUUAUAUUUCAAGUGAUGGCGCUCAUCAUGCCUAUGUUUCAAGUAAUUUUAUUAGGGAUAGCACUGAACACAAACCUGAACAGCUUUGCCCGUGAUGACACCGACCAGACUUUUAUCCACCUAAGCUCGCAUUGAAGGAAAAAAUGUUUAACUGGGCAGUGCAGGAGUGACUCUACUGAGCUAAGUGUUUACAGUGAAAGUAAGUCAAGUUGAACCCUAAAUCAAUACAGGUGAAUUCAGCACAUCCUGGAUAUGUUUCACCAGGGUAGAUCCAGGUUUUUUAUUAAUUCAUAGUGAACCUAUUUCAACAAUGAAACCCUUCAUGCCUGAGUAAUUUAGCAUUUUCUUGCUUUGACAUUGAAACACUACCGUGUAGAAAGCCUCUCUGGACUUUCUGAAUAGAAGCAGGUAACGCAUUUUUACUCAGUUGUAAUUUGUCCACAAUCCAAAAGCACUGCGAUUUGUAAAGCACACAGUUUGGUCAGUAUAAGUGAAUACUCGAUCCCAUUGAGGGCUCUGUUUAUAAAGUUGUGUUUGGAGCUUACUUGAAAGGCAGCCACGCUGACUCAUAUUCGAGACACCCAUUCUCCAAACAGUUCACUUGGUGCUGCAUGGGCAAUAGCACAAGUCCUCCCCACCAUUCUCAAACACUACGGCAUGCCAGAAGCGUUUCCUUCCAGAAAGUUAAAUUCCAGUUACUUCUGACGGCAAAUUUCAAGGAGAAAGCCCUAAACAACUGAUGCAACUUUAGAACUGAAACAAACUUCAUUCUUUACACUGUGCCUAAAUCUUAUGAAUACAGCAGUCCAAAUGAAUUGUUGCUCUUUCACCUCUCACACCCUUUGAAUCUGAAUGUUUUGGUAUGCAAUUCCAGGCCACAUGCUAAAAAUUUACUGCUACAGCUAGACUCACAAGUUUAAGAAUACCUGUUUAGGGGGUUAAAGGGGAUAUGUCUUACAAUUCAAAGCAAUUUAGGAAUAUAAAAGCAAAAUGUUGCAAAAAAGUAAAGAAAACUUAAAUUGUCCCUUGUAUACAAACAAUCUAUUAUAGCACUUGGAAUGGGGACAAAGUGACAUCUUUAUUAGGCUUCUGAGCAGGCAUGAAUACAUUCCGGUAUAACAGAAUUACAUGCAUUUGUGAGCUGUAAUUAGAAGUCUGAAAGACAUAGAUUGCCAUGAAUAUGUAUAGAUCUAACAAAGUACACAGGGAUAUUGCCUCUAGCUAGUCUUAAAAAAAUGUGGCUCAUUAUUUAUCAAAGAAUUACUUCCUGGCCUAUGUACACACACAGUUCCAGUUUACGUUGUCCAGAGAGUCCAUCCACACUGGCAAAAUGUGUGCAUUUCUGAACAAACACUUAUGCAAGCAAUUUGAGCACAGCUCCUGCAUACAAGCAUCUGUUCCUAUUAGUUAGAGCCAUUCUAAUAGCUGUCAGAACUGUUGUUACAGUUAAUUUGCCUAAGCACAGUCACAGCUUCAAUUAAUUUUGGAAUUAUUGCAAGUUGUGGUAUAGGAAAAACAUGAGGUUUUGUGGUGUGUUUCCCCCCUUGUGUAACCUUGCUGUGUAGUUUGAGUCAACACAGUAUAUAUUCCUUCUUCUAUUAAGCAGCUGCAUGAGUGCCAGAAAACUCUUACUGAUAUUGCCUAUGAAAAAAAUCAUAGGUUUAAAGGUAAAAGGGACCAUUAAAUAACUUCCUGUCAUUUCACAUUGUACUUUAUUAAGUUCUAAUGCGUCAAGCCUAGUAACUUAUUAAAAGAAGCUAUCUUUUCCAGAGGCGCAAUCAUUUUUUUUUGAUUUUAAGAUAGAGAAGGAAAAUGUUCUCUCUCCUAAGUUUGUUAUAAUGAGGGAAAAAAAAAAA